UAGUAAAUAGAAAAAGAACAGAAAAGAGAAAAAAGCAUCGAACCCUAGAUUGUAGAAUAAGUUUACAAAUUAAGAAUGACAUCAGUGUUACUUGCUUUAAGUAGAAGGAGCAUGCUACGUAUUAAUAAAGAAUGGUAUAAAGAUAUAAGAU